rnacentral:SRP_RNA from 1 species
UCGUGCUAGACGGGGAACUAGCGGUGCCCUGAACCCGAAAUCCGCUUUCGCGGGGUCGAAUUCCUUUUUGAGGCACCUGCUUGGUAAGGGACCGAGCGAAAGGGGUAAAGUUGAUAGCUGGGACCCACGCAGCAGGCGGCUGCCGAACCCCGCCAGGUCCGGAAGGAAGCAACGGUAGGCAGUUUCGUCUGGGUGCCGUGGAUUCUCCUGGCUUGAUUUACUCCCUUUCGUUUCCGCCUUGUUGAGCGUUGUCGAGAAAAGGUGCACGG